CGCGUAGGCGGGCUUCCAGGCCCGCGGUGAAAUCCCCCGGCUCAACCGGGGAAGUGCCGCGGGGACCGGGAGUCUGGAGUGAGAUAGGGGCGUGCGGAACUGUGGGUGGAGCGGUGAAAUGCGUUGAUAUCCACAGGAACUCCGGUGGCGAAGGCGGCACGCUGGAUCUCUACUGACGCUGAGGCGCGAAAGCCAGGGGAGCGAACG
rnacentral:rRNA from 1 species